rnacentral:rRNA from 1 species
UACAGAGGCCCCAAGCGUUGUUCGGAUUCACUGGGCGUAAAGGGUGCGUAGGUGGUGAGGAAAGUCUGAUGUGAAAGCUCGGAGCUCAACUCCGAAAUGGCAUUGGAAACUACCUUGCUCGAGGAUUGGAGGGGGGACUGGAAUACUUGGUGUAGCAGUGAAAUGCGUAGAUAUCAAGUGGAACACCAGUGGCGAAGGCGAGUCCCUGGACAAUUCCUGACACUGAGGCACGAAAGCCAGGGGAGCAAACGGG